GCAGAGAAACUUCAAAAGACGUACAAGGGAAUACUUUUCUGCGUUGUGCUAAUGCCGGCCUUUGCUGAUGGAGUGAGAAACAUAAGUAUGCAUAGCAACCAGACUGAGCUUAGCAUUAUCUUGUAGAAUUACUAAUAUAGCCUACGAGUACUAAUAUAGCUUACGACUGGAGAGACUGUUGUGUCAGUCACCCUUUUCCCUUGGUAAUAUGUUCUACUGAUGCUUGAUUGUCUAAUUUGUUUUUGUUAAUCUGAUAAAAUGACUGCCUUUAUAUCCAAGCUAACAUAGCAGACAUGCCCUCAGCCCCUCACACAAUAUUUCUUAAGUCUGGGUGCUAGGUUAUGCGUUAUGACUUAUCAGCACUGCCUCAAGUAUACUUCUGGGAAAUUUUGUAGUAUUGUAUUUGAAUAUGCCACCAUUAUAUUCACCAAUCUAUUUUUUUUCUCAGUCUCUAAUCUCUAAGUGAGAUUUCCUUUUUGCUGGCUUAUCAGGUUUCCGGAGCAGAUGGACCUGUGGUCAGAGUUGUUUCAUCGCUGGACAAGAAAUUUGAAGUUAAAUCACGUUCGUUUUUGAGAUAUCGCAAGAAUAGAAGUACCCAGCAGAAUUCCCUUACACAUCGAAUGGCUCUUCAGAGUAAGUUUGAUCCAAUGCUAAAUACAUAAUUUUCAAUUUAAUUAUAAGCUUGUCUUUGAGAGUUUAAGGUUUGCUUGUUUCAGAUGACAUAUGAACAGAGCUUGCCCUGCAAGGUGCUCUCCAUGCGCUUCGGUGGUAGAUUUGGCACGAGAGCGCAUACAUGCAAACACAGGCUAGGAGGUUGAGAAGAAUGGAUUGAAGAACCGAACCAAGGUCUGGCCAUCCUCAACACACUCCGUGCCAUCGUGUCAACCUCUGCAUCAACGACGGCGACAAUAGGCACAAUGUCUGACAGAUAGACAUAUAUCUAUAUUCUGUGGGUUCCUUCUCACUUCUGCUUCGGUACAAAAUAGUGCAGACAUUUGAGUGCUUUGAUUGCUACUUCGAUGUUGCCUCGAGCCCCUCAAGUGUUCUAGUUACCAGCUCUCAGCUAGUUCAAUACCCAUGUUAUUAGGCAUGAACAUCUAUAGACGGACAUGAUGUAUGUAGUUUGCUGUGUUGCAAGGUCAGUGCUGAAACUUCACUUCUGUAUAAACAGGCCAUUCUGAACUGAUGUUAUCUAACUAUGCAUGGUUACUGAAUCAUAUUUCAGUAAUAUGUAAUAAAAUGCAGUGACAAACAUAGCAAAAGAUCUAGUAAGGUCACUGUUGUAGUGCCACCAGAUGGUGUGCUGUAACUUCAAUCAACAACCUACAGGGUUCAGAGAUGCAUCUUGAGACUCGUCUGAUAGCUGCUGUUGUAUGAAAACUCCGCAUAUGGCAAGCUAUCUUCCCAUUUAGGUCCUUGAGCGAGUGCACAUGCUCGGAGCAUGUCUUCGAGUAUCUGUUUUAUUCGUUCAGUCUGACCGUCUGUCUAAGGAUGAUAAGCCGAACUGUACUUUAGAGCAGUCCCCAAAGCUUGAUGAAGACGUG
rnacentral:lncRNA from 1 species